rnacentral:tRNA from 1 species
UAUGCAAUGAACUUAAAAUUCAUUUAUAAAGAUAAAUCUUUUUUUAGA